rnacentral:rRNA from 1 species
GCAAGUCGAGGGGUAACAGAUGAAGAGCUUGCUCAGAUUGCUGACGACCGGCGCACGGGUGAGUAACACGUAUGCAACCUACCUUUUACAGAGGGAUAGCCCAGAGAAAUUUGGAUUAAUACCUCAUGAUAUUUUUAACUCGCAUGAGUUUUAAAUUAAAACUUCGGUGGUAAAAGAUGGGCAUGCGUUCUAUUAGUUUGUUGGUGAGGUAACGGCUUACCAAGGCUAUGAUAGAUAGGUGGUCUGAGAGGAUGAUC